AUUUUAAUAUAAAAUAAAUUGCAUUUGCAAUUUAUUAAGAUUCUCUUCCUGGGCUAAUACUCUUCAUCUGUAGCAUCCUUCAUAACUGAUCUUUAUGCACAGCUUUAUUUAAUCAACAACCUGGCCAACUGGAAGAGAAGAAAUGGAAAAGUGUUUGUGAUUGUAAUUGUGUAUCUCUGAACAUUAUUUUCAUAGACUUAUUUGCUCAUUUUUUCUGCUUAGGUCUCAUGCCCUGGACCUCCUGAAUUCACAGUUUUCACAAUAUACAUGACCUUUGCAUCAUCAAGGUGAGUAACUGAGCAUCACCCUGAGCUAGGAAAAAGCAAAUCAAGUAAAAAGGCAUCAGCUGGUCCAAAUUUGGCCAUCCUGCACUACACAUUGUCCCACACUUGGGACAUGUGGGCUUGUAAAAAUUAUGUUUUUUAGAAGCAGCUUUCCCAUCAAGACUCCUCAAGCGUGGAAAUGACAGCCCCAGUAAAAAGAACUUCCCAACUGAUUCUCAUGUGAACACUUUUAACCUGGGAAUGGCAGUAAUUCCUAACCUGUGAUCCUUUUGGCUGAGGUUCCUGCUGUUUUAACAGGAAUUUGGUGGAGCACAAAUUUUAAGGUUAAAUCUACCACAUCAACUGCAGCGAUCACAAACCGUAGUGCCUGAGGCCAGCUGUGAAUGCCACUGCAGCAAAGCUGUCACCACUGCUUAUCCAGACUGUGCAGAGGGAAAGCCUGCUUGGGAUGUGCAGCUCAGACAGUCUAAGUUGUCUUCUUGGCUUUAAUCUAUUUAAUUUUUCACAGUAAAAAUAUACAGUAGUCAUGAUCUCAUAUCUGAGUAGAAGGAAUGUGUAUUUUCACUCCAUUAAAAUAAAGGUAUGCAUGAAGUGCA
rnacentral:lncRNA from 1 species